UACGGGGGGAGCAAGCGUUGUUCGGAUUUACUGGGCGUAAAGGGCGCGGUAGGCGGUCGUGACAAGUCACUUGUGAAAUCUCCGGGCUUAACUCGGAACGGUCAAGUGAUACUGUCGGACUAGAGUACAGAAGGGGCAACUGGAAUUCUCGGGUGUAGCGGUGAAAUGCGUAGAUAUCAAGAGGAACACCUGCGGCGAAAGGCGGGUUGCUGGGCCGGACACUGACGUGAGGCGCGAAAGCUAGGGGAGCGAACGGG
rnacentral:rRNA from 1 species